rnacentral:miRNA from 1 species
CUUGAUAGUGAGAAAGACCCA